GCUAAGGCCCCUAAAUGACUGCUCAGUGGUAAAGGAGGUAGGAGUGCAAAGACAACCAGGAGGUUUGCCUAGAAGCAGCCACCCUUGAAAGAGUGCGUAAUAGCUCACUGAUCAAGCGCUCUUGCGCCGAAGAUGAACGGGACUAAGCGGUCUGCCGAAGCUGUGGGAUGUCAAAAAACAUCGGUAGGGGAGCGUUCCGUCCCAGGUAGAAGCACCAGUGCGAGCAGGUGUGGACAAAGCGGAAGCGAGAAUGUCGGCUUGAGUAACGCAAACAUUGGUGGGAAUCCAAUGCCCCGAAAACCUAAGGGUUCCUCCGCAAGGCUCGUCCACGGAGGGUGAGUCAGGGCCUAAGAUCAGGCCGAGAGGCGUAGUCGAUGGGCAACGGGUUAAUAUUCCUGUACUGCCCCUUGUUGGUCCCGAGGGACGGAGGAGGCUAGGUUAGCCGAGAGAUGGUUAUCGGUUUAAGGACGCAAAGCUAAUGAACCCAUUAAGGGUAGUGCGGGGUAGGGAAAAUACCUCGAGCCAACGUCCGAGUACUAGGCGCCACGGCGCCGAAGUGACCCACGCCACACUCCCAAGAAAAGCUCGAACGACUUUUAACAAGCGGGUACCUGUACCCGAAACCGACACAGGUGGGUAGGUAGAG
rnacentral:rRNA from 1 species